rnacentral:rRNA from 1 species
UGGGGAGUAUUGCGCAAUGGAGGAAACUCUGACGCAGCAACGCCGCGUGAAGGAUGAAGGUUUUCGAAUUGUAAACUUCUGUUCUUGGUGAAGAAAAAAUGACGGUAGCCAAGCAGCAAACUCCGGCUAACUACGUGCCAGCAGCCGCGGUAAUACGUAGGGAGUGAGCGUUGUCCGGAUUUACUGGGUGUAAAGGGUGCGUAGGCGGCUAAGUAAGUCAGGCGUGAAAAUAUAUAGGCUUAACCUAUAGACUGCGUUUGAAACUGCAUAGCUUGAGUGGAGUAGAGGCAGAUGGAAUUUCCAGUGUAGCGGUGAAAUGCGUAGAUAUUGGAAGGAACACCAGUGGCGAAGGCGAUCUGCUGGGCUCUAACUGACGCUGAGGCACGAAAGCAUGGGUAGCAAACAGGAUUAGAUACCC